UACGUAGGGGGCAAGCGUUGUCCGGAAUCACUGGGCGUAAAGCGCGCGCAGGCGGUCAUCUACGUCUGGGGUGAAAGCCCGGAGCUCAACUCCGGGAUUGCCUUGGAUACGGGAUGACUUGAGGAUCGGAGAGGCAAGGGGAAUUCCACGUGUAGCGGUGAAAUGCGUAGAGAUGCGGAGGAACACCUGUGGCGAAGGCGCCUUGCUGGCCGAUUUCUGACGCUGAGGCGCGAAAGCGUGGGGAGCAAACAGG
rnacentral:rRNA from 1 species